rnacentral:rRNA from 1 species
CAAUAGCGUAUAUUUAAGUUGCUGCAGUUAAAAAGCUCGUAGUUGGAUUUCGGGUGGGAAUGGCCGGUCCGCCGUUUCGGUGUGCACUUGCUACGCCCACCUUGCUGCCGGGGACGUGCUCUUGAGUUCACGCUCGGGACACGGAGUCGGCGAGGUUACUUUGAGUAAAUUAGAGAGUUCAAAGCAGGCCUACGCUCUGAAUACAUUAGCAUGGAAUAACACGAUAGGACUCUGGCCUAUCUUGUUGGUCUGUAGGACCGGAGUAAUGAUUAAGAGGGACAGUCGGGGGCAUUCGUAUUUCAUUGUCAGAGGUGAAAUUCUUGGAUUUAUGAAAGACGAACUACUGCGAAAGCAUUUGCCAAGGAUGUUUUCAUUAA